rnacentral:rRNA from 1 species
AUUGAACGCUGGCGGCAGGCCUAACACAUGCAAGUCGAACGGUAACAGGAAGCAGCUUGCUGCUUUCCUGACGAGUGGCGGACGGGUGAGUAAUGUCUGGGAAACUGCCUGAUGGAGGGGGAUAACUACUGGAAACGGUAGCUAAUACCGCAUAACGUCGCAAGACCAAAGAGGGGGACCUUCGGGCCUCUUGCCAUCGGAUGUGCCCAGAUGGGAUUAGCUUGUUGGUGGGGUAACGGCUCACCAAGGCGACGAUCCCUAGCUGGUCUGAGAGGAUGACCAGCCACACUGGAACUGAGACACGGUCCAGACUCCUACGGGAGGCAGCAGUGGGGAAUAUUGCACAAUGGGCGCAAGCCUGAUGCAGCCAUGCCGCGUGUAUGAAGAAGGCCUUCGGGUUGUAAAGUACUUUCAGCGGGGAGGAAGGGAGUAAAGUUAAUACCUUUACUCAUUGACGUUACCCGCAGAAGAAGCACCGGCUAACUCCGUG